GUCUGGGAGGAAGUGUGUGACACUGAAUAUUUGUGCUUUCAUUUUCUUUCGAUACAGUGAUAGUGCAGAUGGGCUAACAUACAGUGGGUGCGACAACUUGUGAAAUUGUGCUAUUUUUGAAAGAUGUUACUUUAGGGGAAUCCCCUUUCUCCAGAAUUCAAGUAUCUCAGACCUGAUUACAUGAAAAAGCAUUCAGCAUUUUCAUAGGAUGGCUCUGAACUGUACCUGAUUAUUUUAUGGGGGUGCCAUAGUCACAGGAGAGAGAGAGAUACUGAAUUUGAAAUUGAACUCUUUUCAAAUUAAUUCAUUGUCGAGUCAAGCAGUGAGGAGCAACGACCUCAGACUGUCACCAUUGGAUUAAAAGGCUGAGAAAAUGCUCCAAAAUACAUCCUAGGACAUGUAUAACCCUAUUACUUCUUGGGCCUCGGCUUAUUUGAGUUAUUUUCCUUAAUGGUUAUUACUGUGCUUACUUGGUCAGGAAAGGUGGUUACUGUGCUUACUUGGUCAGGAAAGGUGGUUUGAAAGGAUGCAAGGAAAACUAAAGCUGAACAACAUAAUUUCUUUCCUUAAUCAUAAUUUCUGUUCAAGCCUCCACUGGAUGAAAGAUGGUGUAAAAAGAAAAAAAAACUUUAAAGCACUUCAGAGCAUAUAGGAAGUUAUGGCUUCUUGAAAAAGCUGAAGAGUAAGGCAAAAUGUGAGCAAAGGGAAAAAUGUAAUAGGCACGCUAUAGUGAGUCCAAGAUGGAGGGAAAACAGAGGAAGAUAGUAGGCCAAAGAUGCUAUUUCACCUAAAUCCAGACCUGUACAUAGAGUUGCUGCAAUGUAUCAUUGUUGCACGAAAUGCCAGUAACUGUAAAUGUUGCUUUGUGAGAUGGGCCUACAUAGUGCGGUACAUAGACUUGUUGCAAUGUAAGAGCAAUGUAGCUACAGGUCAGUCUAUGCUCACUUCUCCUAAAUGUUUAUAAACGUUAUAUUAUUAUUAAACCUGAAAAGGAACCAUUGUAUUGCACUCUUUCAUCACUGUAUAUCUACACCAUGAAGCCAAACAAAAUGGCAGCGAAUUAAAGUGAACAAGACAUAUACAUUACCAUUAUUUCAUACUCAUACACCAAGCUAGAAACUUCAUUAAAUUCUAAGUACAUCACUACCAAUUAGGUUUUACUACUAAUGAUUUUAUCUAAGUGCAAGUAGUUAAAAAACUAUAUAAAUUAUUUAUGAAAGAAAAGGAUGAAAGAAAGAAGAUUUUGAUUUUAUAUUUGAAUAAAUGUAUGUUUUCACUUGUUUAAAA